AAAAAACACCAACUUGAGGCUGAGGAGAUUACUGGUUGAACAGAGCUCUUCUGACAGUGAUCUGCACACAAUCCAUUGCCUCGCCAUGUUCUCAGCUGGAACACUACACAGAACCACCUUUGGGCCUCAUCAUGGUCCCCAAAGCUCUUUGGAUUUGGAACCUUCAUUCCAUCUCUGUUCAAGGAAGGCUCAGGAUAAGAAGAGAAGAACCACUCCCCCUUCCCUUAACCUCUGUGUGCCACGUAUUCCACAGACUGUUCUUCACGCUAGGUAUUUGCAGCAUCUUCC
rnacentral:lncRNA from 1 species